rnacentral:rRNA from 1 species
GAUGAACGCUGGCGGCGUGCCUAAUACAUGCAAGUCGAGCGAACAGACGAGGAGCUUGCUCCUCUGACGUUAGCGGCGGACGGGUGAGUAACACGUGGAUAACCUACCUAUAAGACUGGGAUAACUUCGGGAAACCGGAGCUAAUACCGGAUAAUAUAUUGAACCGCAUGGUUCAAUAGUGAAAGACGGUUUUGCUGUCACUUAUAGAUGGAUCCGCGCCGCAUUAGCUAGUUGGUAAGGUAACGGCUUACCACGGCAACGAUGCGUAGCCGACCUGAGAGGGUGAUCGGCCACACUGGAACUGAGACACGGUCCAGACUCCUACGGGAGGCAGCAGUAGGGAAUCUUCCGCAAUGGGCGAAAGCCUGACGGAGCAACGCCGCGUGAGUGAUGAAGGUCUUCGGAUCGUAAAACUCUGUUAUUAGGGAAGAACAAAUGUGUAAGUAACUAUGCACGUCUUGACGGUACCUAAUCAGAAAGCCACGGCUAACUACGUG